GAUGAACGCUAGCGAUAGGCCUAACACAUGCAAGUCGAGGGGCAUCACAUGAAGUAGCAAUACGGAUGGUGGCGACCGGCGCACGGGUGAGUAACACGUAUGCAACCUGCCUUCAACAAGGGGAUAACCCGUUGAAAGACGGACUAAUACCCUAUAACACAGGGGUCCCGCAUGGGAAUAUUUGUUAAAGGACAACCGGUUGAAGAUGGGCAUGCGUUCCAUUAGCUAGUUGGCGGGGUAACGGCCCACCAAGGCAACGAUGGAUAGGGGAACUGAGAGGUUUAUCCCCCACACUGGUACUGAGACACGGACCAGACUCCUACGGGAGGCAGCAGUGAGGAAUAUUGGUCAAUGGACGCAAGUCUGAACCAGCCACGUCGCGUGAAGGAAGACGGCCCUACGGGUUGUAAACUUCUUUUAACGGGAAUAAAGUGCCCCACGCGUGGGGUUUUGCAUGUACCGUAUGAAUAGGAUCGGCUAACUCCGUG
rnacentral:rRNA from 1 species